UGGGCUGAGGGCAGGAGGCCUGU
rnacentral:miRNA from 1 species